GGUAGUGGUGAUCAUUUAACAGAAAUUAAUUAACAAGUCAAUAAUCAUUUCUUGUUUUGGGGCGGCACGGCGGUGCAGCAAGAUGGAGGUUGGAACCCUGGUUCACCCAGGUAUUUUGUGUGUGGAGUCUGCAGUCUCCCUGAGUACUCUGGCUUUCUCCAGGUUAGGUUACUUGGUGAAGGUGGGUGUGAAUAGCUGUUAGUCUCUAUAUGUCAGCUCUGCCAUAAACAGCUCUGCAAAUCAAAUUAGGACCGCGACUAAUGGUUAUUGAUUACUGCUAAUUAUUUUCUCAAUUAAUCAUUGAAUCAUUUUGUUCAUAAAAAGCCCCACAGCCAAAAUGAAUGAAUGAAAACCUGCAGAUUAACUGAUCAUUACAGCUCCAAUUUAAAUAUUUAAAAAUGACACUGACAAUGACACCUUAGGUUCUGAGAAAGUUUACAGGCCAUUUUUAUUCAGUAAACAGUUCAUCAAAGAUUUAAAAAAUGUGAAUAAAUCAGAAGGGGUACAGUCCCACCACCAAGUUAUAAAUAACAGCAGAGGAUAAAAAGAUAAGGCUUAAUAUCCAGCAGAAUUGAUCUCGGCACAAACAGGUUAGUGUGUAAUAAAGAGCAACAGAGGUGUGCUUUAGCGUGUGUUCUCAGUUGCCAAGUAAAAUAAGAGUUCUUCCAGCUUAGUGGCUCAAUAGGGAAACAACUGCCUGAUUAAAUAAGAAUGUGUUCUGUGUCUGCUUGCCGAGUCAGAUAACGACGACGAGGUGGAGAAGAUACAGCAGCUGACCGUAUCCAAACACACGGACAGAGGAGCGCUCUGUAGACCAUCUGUCGCAGCAAACAGGUUCAGAUGCUGCAGCCUGGACACAAACACCAGCUCCCACCUUAAAAAGCAAACAGAGGCCUGGACUACGAAGGGAGUUUAACCCACUCUGAUUUAACUCGGGUUAUCAAGGAACGUCGGGGUUGACAGACGUCGGCUGCCAAGAUAUCAGUGUCUCCACUUCACGUCCACAAUCAGAGAAUCUUUGGACAAUGAAGGAAUUGUUUAGACCAGGACAGAGGCCUCCAGAAUUCAAACUUCAACCAUUAAAUCACAGAGAGAAGAGACAGACAUGAAGAUGUUUCCAGAAGGUCUCUGAAACGCCACCAGUGCUGUCGCAUAUCCCAUAACGCCAGGGAGUCAAGAGCGCUAGGACAGGCGUUCACACUUUGUCUGCUUCAGAAUCACUUCUGUCUCCGACCGACCCUCCUCCCACUGAAAUCAACACGACUCAACUCUACUGUGACAUUGAGUAUUUUUAACUGUUUUCCAUGCUUUACUAGUUUAUGACAGUAUUUAAGUGUUUAUGAUUGUUUGUUAUGCUUUACUGUAUUAUGACAUUUUUGACUGUUGUUCACUGUUUUGUAUGUCUUUUUAUUGUGUGACAAUAAAUUGUGUGUGUAUUGUGUUUCCUGUUAGGAAGAGAUAGCAGAGGAAUGAGAGUAAAGGGAUGGGACAUGCUUUGGCCCAGCCCUUUACUCAGAUAGGACAGUGUAGAUGAUGAUGAUUUUUUUCUGGGUUUUUUUGCAUUGACAUUUUUUUUAUUUUUCCAUUCAAAUUUUUGAGAUUUUCAUUUUUUCAAUGU